CACGAACCGUGACGAACGUUAUUCGGAAUUACUGGGCUUAAAAGGGUUUGUAGGCGGCCUUGUAAGUCAGGUGUGAAAUCCCUCGGCUCAACCGAGGAAUAGCGCUUGAUACUGCAAGGCUUGAGGGAGACAGGGGUAAGCGGAACUGAUGGUGGAGCGGUGAAAUGACGUUGAUAUCAUCAGGAACACCGGUGGCGAAAGCGGCUUAACUGGGGUCUCUUCUGGACGCUGAGGAACGAAAGCUAGGGGAGCGAACGGGAGUUAGAAAACCCU
rnacentral:rRNA from 1 species